GAAGCUGUAGCUCAGUGGUAGAGCGUACGAUUGCAAUUUGAUGCAAAUCAUCGUAAUGUCCCGUGUUCGAACCACGGCAGUUUCU